UACAGAGGGGGCAAGCGUUGUUCGGAAUUAUUGGGCGUAAAGGGCGCGUAGGCGGCUUUGCAAGUGACGGGUGAAAUCCCUCGGCUUAACCGAGGAACUGCCUGUCAGACUGCAUGGCUUGAGACCGGGAGAGGUGAGUGGAAUUCCUGGUGUAGCGGUGAAAUGCGCAGAUAUCAGGAAGAACACCCGUGGCGAAGGCGGCUCUCUGGGACGGUACUGACGCUGAGACGCGAAAGCGUGGGGAGCGAACAGG
rnacentral:rRNA from 1 species